UAUUUGAACUUUUUAGUAGAAUUUAACUUGUUCAUAGGUUCCGGCUUAAUUUUAAGCAUGUUAAUCUUUGGUCAAGUUACUUCCCCGUAUCGCGCUGUGCAGCGAAGACAAGGAGCGGCGCGGGACUGAUUCUGGGGAGAGCAAUAACAUUGUGGAAUUGAGACCACAGCAUCCACCUCGUCGGCUUGUCUCCUUGUCUGUGAGAGAGAUGGAGAACGCCGCCGCCCUCCCGGGCAUUCAACAAAUUUACCCGAUCUGCUCCUCCCGCCAAUCUCAUGCCCCGCCUUCUCACCCAAUCGCCAACUUCAGGCCUUCCUCCCUUCCCUCUCCCAAGCUCCAAAUGCGAUUCCUUCCUGCUGCUCAGAAUGUUCUUCAAGCCACCUCGCGUCUCCGCCGACCUGCCACUCUAUCUGAUGCCUACAGUGAAACAGUUGAGUUAGCAGACAUAGACUGGGACAACCUUGGAUUUGGCCUCCUACCUACGGACUACAUGUACAUCAUGAAAUGUUCGCAAGGUGGAAGCUUUGCUAAUGGUGAACUGCAACUUUUUGGGAACAUUGAAUUGAGCCCCUCAGCAGGCGUCUUAAACUAUGGGCAGGGACUAUUUGAAGGUUUAAAAGCAUACCGCAAACAAGAUGGGAAUAUACUCCUCUUUCGUCCAGAGGAAAAUGCUAUACGGAUGAAGAUGGGUGCAGAAAGAAUGUGCAUGCCAUCACCUAGAGUAGAACAAUUUGUGGAAGCUGUAAAGACUACUGUUUUAGCAAACAAACGUUGGAUUCCCCCUCCAGGUAAAGGUUCCUUGUAUAUCAGACCGUUGCUGAUGGGAAGUGGAGCUGUGCUUGGUCUUGCACCUGCACCAGAGUAUACCUUUCUAAUAUAUGUUUCCCCUGUUGGAAAUUACUUCAAGGAAGGUGUGGCUCCAAUAAAUUUGAUUGUUGAGAACGAAUUGCAUCGAGCAACGCCUGGUGGUACUGGAGGUGUGAAGACCAUUGGCAACUAUGCUGCUGUUCUGAAGGCACAAUCUGCCGCAAAAGCCAAAGGCUACUCUGAUGUUUUAUAUCUUGACUGUGUCCAUAAGAGAUAUUUGGAGGAGGUUUCUUCCUGCAACAUUUUUGUUGUUAAGGGCAAAGUUAUUUCAACUCCUGCUAUUAAAGGGACUAUUCUACCUGGCAUCACUCGAAAAAGUAUACUCGACGUUGCUAGAAGCCAGGGGUUCCAGGAAGUGGGGUUUGAAGACAUUGAUUGCACGAGGAGGCAAUGGGAAAAUUGAUUGAAGUAGAUUGUUGUGGCUGCUGAGAAGUAGAUUGUUGUUCUCAACUCUGAAAUUGAUAGAAGCCUGUGGAUUCUGGUCUUGUCAGAUCUGAGAAUGGAGGAAGAGUUGAAGUGGGGGAGGAAGAUAGAGGAGCCACAAAAAUCAGCAUGGAGGAGGAGCUGGAGGUGGAAGACAUAAGAUCGGACAGAUCAAAGAAAAACAAAAAAGCAAGACUGAAAUAUGAUUUGGGAACACCUACAUGCGUCCAUGGUGUCGCUAGUGGUCCUCACCACAGGGGUGAGGUUUGGUUGUCACCACAGUGGUCAUCGUCACUGUCGCUGAUUUGGCCCUCCAUUGCCAUCAAUGAAUGUGGCGGGUGAUGAAGCCUGGGUCAAACAUGGAAGGAGAGACGUUGAGGGUAAAAAUGAGAAAACAAGGAAGUGAGUUCUUUGGGUCCAGGGAUGGAAUCCACUUCCACCGUUUUGUUGGAACCAGGUUCCAUUAGGAAGUGGGAUCCUGUCUAGUAAACAUUCUAUUUUCUAUUUCACUUCCACUUCCCAACACCAAACAGGUCAUUUGGACUAUUUUGAAGGGUCACAUAUAGCAAGUAAAUGCGACCUUGGCAUGACGUUUGUCCUUUCUCUUCUCUAUCGCCCUGGUAGAGGAGCGAUCAGUGUCAGUGGAUGAAUUACUUGAUGCUGAUGAGGUCUUCUGCACGGGGACGGCUGUUGUUGUGUCACCUGUGGGCAGUAUCACUUAUCUUGGCAAGAG